GAUGAACGCUGGCGGCGUGCCUAAUACAUGCAAGUCGAGCGAACGGACGAGAAGCUUGCUUCUCUGAUGUUAGCGGCGGAUGGGUGAGUAACACGUGGAUAACCUACCUCUAAGACUGGGAUACCUUCGGGAAACCGGAGCUAAUACAGGAUGAUAUUUUGAACCGCAUGGUUCAUCAGUGAAAGUCGGUAUUGCUGUCAAUUAUCGAUGGUUCCGCGCUGCAUUAGGUAGUUGGGAAGGUAACGGCUUACCAAGGCAACGAGGCAUAGCCGAACUGAGAGGGUGAUCGGCCACACGGGAACUGAGACGCGGUCCAGACUCCGACGGGAGGCAGCAGUAGAGAAUCUUCCGCAGUGGGCGAAAGCCUGACGGAGCAACGCCGCGUGAGUGAUGAAGAUCUUCGGAUCGUAAAACUCUGUUAUUAGGGAAGAACAUAUGUGUAAGUAACUGUGCACAUCGUGACGUAACCUAGUCAGAAAGCCACGGCUAACUACGUG
rnacentral:rRNA from 1 species